AUUGAACGCUGGCGGCAUGCCUUACACAUGCAAGUCGAACGGCAGCAUGAUCUAGCUUGCUAGAUUGAUGGCGAGUGGCGAACGGGUGAGUAAUACAUCGGAACGUGCCCUGUAGUGGGGGAUAACUAGUCGAAAGAUUAGCUAAUACCGCAUACGACCUGAGGGUGAAAGUGGGGGACCGCAAGGCCUCAUGCUAUAGGAGCGGCCGAUGUCUGAUUAGCUAGUUGGUGAGGUAAAGGCUCACCAAGGCGACGAUCAGUAGCUGGUCUGAGAGGACGAUCAGCCACACUCGGACUGAGACACGGCCCAGACUCCUACGGGAGGCAGCAGUGGGGAAUUUUGGACAAUGGGCGAAAGCCUGAUCCAGCAAUGCCGCGUGUGUGAAGAAGGCCUUCGGGUUGUAAAGCACUUUUGUCCGGAAAGAAAUGGCUCUGGUUAAUACCUGGGGUCGAUGACGGUACCGGAAGAAUAAGGACCGGCUAACUACGUG
rnacentral:rRNA from 1 species